AAGUGGGAAGGCUGAAUUUGGAACCAUAGAAGUUAAAGGACAAUAUGGCUUAAAUGGCUUUUAUAGGGGUAUAAUGGAAAAAUCAGAAUGAAGAACUUGAAAUAAACCCAUCGAUUAAAGUUGCCUCCAAACUAUGGUCAGGAAGAGGGAGGCGGAGAACCAGAACUUGGAAGCUGAUCCAGGCCACCUAACCAAGGCUCCAAAUCUCAUGAAAAUUUGUGAACAGAAUCGCCUUCCCCAGCUUUAUUGAAUUCAAGACUCAAUGACAUGUAACAACAGGCGUUGAUCUAGUAUAUAAGCUCUGAAAUUUCUCCAGGCGGUAGUUGCAGGUCAUUAACAACUCAGAGAGACAGCCACCAAAAGGGAGGGUUUCAACGAUCAAGGACUUCAGGGUUGAGUCGCCUCAGGUAGGGGUUUGUUUGCUUCAAAAUUUAAACUGAAAGGAUUCGCAUAUAUGGGAUCAGCCACGGUUUUCUUAUGUUGGAAGUUCUGCUAGAACAGAGACCAAGAUUGGCGAGGAAAGCGACCAUGACAGCUUUACAAGUAAAGAUGGUGGGUCUGCAAUUGGAGUAAAUGGGAUGCCGAGUGAGAAGUGCGUCUUCAUCCAGGUCGUUCUGGUAGAUGAGGGUAGGGAUUCGAUUGUGGAGGUUGAGGCGAUUGCCAGUGAGGACAGAGACGGAUUGUGGGAGUUUUAGGGCAUUAGGAUUAGGGUUAAUGUUUAUGGGAUGUUGUUGGAGCUAGGAGUGACGGAGGGGAUUGAGAGGGGGUUCGAUUCGGAGGCGGUGCUUACGAAGACGACGCACAAUGGCUUCUUCAGGGGUGGCGAAGGAGAGAAGGCGACGUGGGAGGAAGAGAGAUGGGGAAGGGGUAGGCCAUGGAAAUCCUUCUCCAUGAGUUGGAGGCCACUGAAAGGGGCAUGAAAGCGGCUAGUGGAUUUCUUGGUCCGCACAGGUGACUAUUCAUGUCAGGCCUAACUGAAGAAUGUUAAAUUUUUUGUCCUGAUAUUGGGUUAUUUCUCCUGUUUUGUAAGUGUUUUAAUGGACUGGGAGGUUCUUUAAUGGAUGUAGGUUAGGUGAGGCUGUAGAAAAUAGGCCUUGGAUGUUCAGUAGAUUGGUAGAUCUUCUACUAACCAAAUUCUUUUCAUCUUUUGAGGCUCUAGAGAUGGAGCUUUCUGUAAUGGUAUCUUAUAAUGGCUAUUUCUGUAGUGUACAUUAAUUGCUCAAGUAUGGUGAUAUAUCAAAAAUCAAUUUCUUUAUUUUUUUUUUUG